AUACACACAAAAUGGGUAAGAAAGGCUUAAUCUAGUCCUUUCUGGGCUCGGACCAGCAACAUGGCCAAACGUACCAAGAAGGUUGGGAUCGUCGGUAAAUAUGGAACUCGCUAUAGGGCCUCCCUCCGGAAAAUGGUGAAGAAAAUUGAAAUCGGCCAGCAUGCCAAGUACACUUGCUCUUUCUGUGGCAAAACCAAGAUGAAGAGAUGAGCUGUGGGCAUCUGGCACUGUGGUUCCUGCAUGAAGACAGUGGCUGGCGGUGCCUGGACGUACAAUACCACUUCCACUGUUACGGUCCGUCAUCAGAAGACUGAAGGAAUUGAAAGACCAGUAGACACUCCUCUACUCUUUGAGACAUCACUGGCCUAUAAUAAAUGGGUUAAUUUAUGUAAUUAAAAAAAAAAAAGAAAAA